rnacentral:rRNA from 1 species
UGGUCAUUUAGAGGAAGUAAAAGUCGUAACAAGGUUUCCGUAGGUGAACCUGCGGAAGGAUCACUACAAGUGAGGCUACCGAACGUUGGAAACAGCGGUUAGGAGCUUACACCCACCCGUGUUUACAUACUAUUGUUGCUUUGGCGGGCCGUGGCCUCCACUGCGGGCUCUGCUCGUGUGUGCCCGCCAGAGAACCAAACUCUGAAUGUUAGUGAUGUCUGAGUACUAUCUAAUAGUUAAAACUUUCAACAACGGAUCUCUUGGUUCUGGCAUCGAUGAAGAACGCAGCGAAAUGCGAUAAGUAAUGUGAAUUGCAGAAUUCAGUGAAUCAUCGAAUCUUUGAACGCACAUUGCGCCCUGUGGUAUUCCGCAGGGCAUGCCUGUUCGAGCGUCAUUUAACCACUCACGCCUAGCGUGGUAUUGGGGCACGCGGUCUCCGCGGCCCUCAAAAUUAGUGGCGGCGCCGGUGGGCUCUAAGCGUAGUUCAUACUCCCGCUAUAGAGUUCCCCCCGGUGGCUCGCCAGAACCCCCAAUUUUUUACAGGUUGACCUCGGAUCAGGUAGGGAUACCCGCUGAACUUAAGCAUAUCAAUAAGCGGAGG